rnacentral:tRNA from 1 species
GGAGAAGUGGGUGAGUGGCUGAAACCACAUGUUUGCUAAACAUGCAUACUGGGAAACUGGUAUCGGGGGUUCGAAUCCCCCCUUCUCCG